UAUGUGAUCGUCUCUCGCAUAUCAAUAAGCGGAGGAAAAGAAACUAACAAGGAUUCCCCUAGUAACGGCGAGUGAAGCGGGAAGAGCUCAAAUUUGAAAUCUUAAAGGGUUUCCCUUUACGAAUUGUAGUUUAAAGAAGUGUUUUCUGUUGAGGUUUUGGUAAAAGUUCUUUGGAAUAGGACAUCAUAGAGGGUGAGAAUCCCGUAUUUGACCUUUACUUUCAACUUUGUGAUACACUUUCAAAGAGUCGGAUUGUUUGGGAAUGCAGUCCAAAAUGGGUGGUAAAUUUCAUCUAAAGCUAAAUAUUGGCGAGAGACCGAUAGCGAACAAGUACCGUGAGGGAAAGAUGAAAAGAACUUUGAAAAGAGAGUUAAACAGUACGUGAAAUUGUCAAAAGGGAAGCGUUUGACACCAGUGUUGUUUUUCUGAAAAUCAAUUAAAGAACUGUUUAUGCUAAGCUGUUUAGACUUUAUCAGCUAUCUGUUUAGUUUUGAGCUUUUCUUUAAUGCACUUUUCAGUUAACAAGUCAACAUCAAUUUCUUUUGCUGUAAAAAAGCUUGAGGAAGGUGGCUUGAGAUUCGUCUUAAGUGUUUAUAGCCUCUUGCCUAUGCAGUCGGAGAGAUUGAGGUCUGCAGCGUAGAUCCUUCGGGGCUAAAUGUAUUUGUGCUAAGUUAUAGCAUUUUAUAGACAACUUGUUGACUAUGAUUUGUCUUGUAGCUUACUCGCUUAUGUUAUUUUACCUACGCUUAGGAUGUUGAGCGCAUGUCUCUCUCU
rnacentral:rRNA from 1 species